rnacentral:lncRNA from 10 species
GCUGGCUCCGGCCUUGGCCAGCCCAGAAUGGGGCCCCCACAGUGCAGCGGCGGGCUGAAGGGCUCCUCAAGUGCCGCCAAAGUAGGAGCCCAGGCAGAGGAGGCGCCGGGAGCGAGCAAGGGCUGUGAGGACUGCCAGCACGCUGUCACCUCUCAUAUGCAUAGGAGCUGUCCUUGGCCAAGAGGGAUGCUCCUUGCCUGGAAUGCUGCACUCUCACUACUUCCUGGGGGCAGACAUAGCCAAUGACUGAGGGACAGAAAUGUACAAAGGCUAGUCCUUUGUCUGAAGGAGACACUCACCCUAAUCUUAUGCCUG